rnacentral:lncRNA from 1 species
AGCAUAGAAAGGAAGUGAAAAGUUAAUUAGGUAAGUGGUGGCCUAAGUCACUAUUUUGUUCCGUCUGUCUGCCUUGGGUGUUGAUGACCAACGAGUGACCUGUUACUCACUGACUGGAAACAUAAUCAUAGUCGGCAUAACAACGAAUCGUUGUAUUAAGAGAAAAACAAAAGUGAAUUUGCUGUUAGUUUUCGAGUUCAUCUGACUAUUCCAGAGCUUGACAACUCACGGAGACGGUGAGGAUGCGCUGUCUUCACAGUUUUCUCGACCACGUUGAAAGUCUACCUGCGCGAAACUGAAGGGUUCACCUUCCCACAGCGUAUCUCAGAUCAUCGACACUUCUAUUGUGCAGCGAGGAGCAAAAGUCCUGGUUUUCCCAGAGUUCAUUCUGGCCGGCACCACCAUUCCGGCCAAGGGGGAGGAGGACUUCCUCACUCUGGCCGCCUCCCGGCUCAGCCGCAGGAAACGUGUCAUCG